rnacentral:rRNA from 1 species
GAUCCUGGCUCAGGAUGAACGCUAGCUACAGGCUUAACACAUGCAAGUCGAGGGGCAGCAUGGUCUUAGCUUGCUAAGGCUGAUGGCGACCGGCGCACGGGUGAGUAACACGUAUCCAACCUGCCGUCUACUCUUGGCCAGCCUUCUGAAAGGAAGAUUAAUCCAGGAUGGGAUCAUGAGUUCACAUGUCCGCAUGAUUAAAGAUUUAUCGGUGAUGGGUGGGG